AUCUGAUACAUCUGGCAUCUUCAUCCCUUUUUCCUGAGACUCUGCAAGCUGAAGUUCAUGUAAAAACCAUCUUCUGACAUACAAACUUACAGACCCGAAAAGUCUGUCAAGAUUGCCACUGUCUACUUCAACUUUAACUGAAGAUGCCUUUAGUCUAACAUCAAGACACCUCAAAUGAUUGCCCUCCAUACUCUAAGGAAACUGGUUUAUAGACUGUUCCAAACAUUAAUCUUUGUUAUUGAGAGACUGUCUACAACAUAAUCUCUUAUAAUAAAUACAAAUUUUCCAUUGUAAUGGCCUAUUCCCAGAAAUCCUUUGCCACUCAUGUAUUAACUUGAUUAUACUCUCCACAGACACAACUCAGCUUUUAAUUUGUGAAACUUCUAUGAAAGUUUCAGACAGGAGAAUGUUGGGGUAGAAAAAAUGAUUUCCAAAGUAUAAUACUCGGUCAUGCUGAGUGAUUUUGAAGAUUGAAAGUCCUCAAAAAAUAAGCCUCAGAAUCAAAGUCCUUCUAAACUUGUCUUAUUUCUCUUCUUACUCCACUCAAACUCAGAGAGGGACUCUCUCUGGAAUGUCCUUAUCUAACCAAGAAAGCUUCUUACCAAAAGAAACACAACACAGUUCAUUUAUCUGUUAGAGUAGGUAGUUAGGCAGAUAUGAGCAGGGCAGAAGAGUGCUUCCUCCAGAAAUGUCAGGCAACCAUCAGGUGAUGGUCAGGCAGUUGUUAAACUGUGUCUCUAAAAUCAUUGGUUGCAGCUGACUCCAAGGAAAGGCAGUCUCCCAAAAGACAGAAAACACUAGCAGGUUCCUGAUAAGAUCACAGGAGUUGGGUAAGUGGUUUCAAGCAUGUGCACUGAAAGGCAAAAUGGCAGAAUUUAACUGGUAUAUGACCUUUCUCUAGGAACCCUUGACUGGUAAGGGAAAAACACCUCAAAUGAGCAUGCACAUAACUGCAGUAAACACACUGUGCAUGUGGCCCCUCUUAAAUGCUGGCAGGCCACUGCGCAGGCAGACAGCUUGACCUAGGGAAAAAUCAAGGGAGAAGAAACGUCAACUUUAGAACCACGCCAAGGUAUGAAAACCCUAAGUCAAGGGUAGGACAAAGCACUUGGAUCUCUCAAGUCACGGGCUUAGCCCUCUUCCAAGUAUACUUUCCUGCCUUUCAUUCCUGCUCUAAAACUUAAUAAAUUUGACUCCUGCUUUAAAACUUGCCUCAGUCUCUCACUCUGCCUUAUGACCCCUUGGCCAAAUUGCUUCCUCUGAGGAGGCAAGAAUCAAGUUUGCUGCAGACGGAUCAAAUUCCCCGCUGCCAACAUACUUAUUAACCUAUUGCAGAAUAUCUCGGUUGUCUCCAGGUUUUGGCAGUUGUGAAUAUAUUUCUAUAAACGUUUAUGUGAAGAUUUUUGUGUGGACAUAAGUUUUGAAUUCAUCUGGUUAAAUACCAAGGAACAUGAAUGCUGGAGUGAAUAACACUCAAUUUAACUUUGGAAGAAAAUGCCAGACUGUCUUUCAAAUUGAUUGUAGCAUAUUGCAUUCUGCCAGCAAUGAAUGGAAAUUCUUGUUGUUCUGCUUGCUGUC
rnacentral:lncRNA from 10 species